UUAAAGGGGGUGAAAAGCCCCCUCGCCGUAAGCGCAAGGUUUUCUACGCAACGUUCAUCGGCGUAGAGUGAGUCGGCCCCUAAGGCGAGGCAGAGAUGCGUAGCUGAUGGGAAACAGGUCAAUAUUCCUGUACCGAUGUGUAGUGCGAUGUGGGGACGGAGAAGGUUAACUCAGCCAACUGUUGGAUAUGUUGGUUCAAGCUUGUAGUCGUGCCUGGUAGGCAAAUCCGCCGGGCUUAGAUGAGGAGUGAUAACGAGGAAGCUUGCUUCCGAAGUGAGUGAUACCCUGCUUCCAGGAAAAGCCACUAAGCUUCAGCUGCACACGACCGUACCGCAAACCGACACUGGUGCGCGAGAUGAGUAUUCUAAGGCGCUUGAGAGAACUCAGGAGAAGGAACUCGGCAAAUUGAUACCGUAACUUCGGGAGAAGGUAUGCCGCAAGUAGGUGAACUUGUACAAAGGGAGCCCAAAGCGGUUGCAAAAAAUCGGUGGCUGCGACUGUUUAUUAAAAACACAGCACUCUGCAAACACGAAAGUGGACGUAUAGGGUGUGACGCCUGCCCGGUGCUGGAAGAUUAAAUGAUGGGGUGCAAGCUCUUGAUUGAAGUCCCAGUAAACGGCGGCCGUAACUAUAACGGUCCUAAGGUAGCGAAAUUCCUUGUCGGGUAAGUUCCGACCUGCACGAAUGGCGUAACGAUGGCCACACUGUCUCCUCCUGAGACUCAGCGAAGUUGAAAUGUUUGUGAUGAUGCAAUCUCCCCGCGGAAAGACGGAAAGACCCCAUGAACCUUUACUGUAGCUUUGUAUUGGACUUUGAACAGAUCUGUGUAGGAUAGGUGGGAGGCUUUGAAGCAGGGUCGCUAGAUCUUGUGGAGCCAACGUUGAAAUACCACCCUGGUGUGUUUGAGGUUCUAACCUAGGUCCAUUAUCUGGAUCGGGGACAGUGCAUGGUAGGCAGUUUGACUGGGGCGGUCUCCUCCCAAAGCGUAACGGAGGAGUUCGAAGGUACGCUAGUUACGGUCGGACAUCGUGACGAUAGUGCAAUGGCAUAAGCGUGCUUAACUGCGAGACUGACAAGUCGAGCAGAUGCGAAAGCAGGACAUAGUGAUCCGGUGGUUCUGUAUGGAAGGGCCAUCGCUCAACGGAUAAAAGGUACUCUGGGGAUAACAGGCUGAUACCGCCCAAGAGUUCAUAUCGACGGCGGUGUUUGGCACCUCGAUGUCGGCUCAUCUCAUCCUGGGGCUGUAGCCGGUCCCAAGGGUAUGGCUGUUCGCCAUUUAAAGAGGUACGUGAGCUGGGUUUAAAACGUCGUGAGACAGUUUGGUCCCUAUCUUCCGUGGGCGCUGCAGAUUUGAGGAAGCCUGCUCCUAGUACGAGAGGACCGGAGUGGACACACCUCUGGUGUAUCGGUUGUCACGCCAGUGGCAUUGCCGAGUAGCUAAGUGUGGAAGAGAUAAACGCUGAAAGCAUCUAAGCGUGAAACUCGUUUCAAGAUGAGAUCUGCCGGGGCCUUGAGCCCCCUAAAGAGUCGUUCAAGACCAGGACGUUGAUAGGUCGGGUGUGGAAGCGCAGUAAUGCGUUAAGCUAGCCGAUACUAAUUGCUCGUGCGGCUUGACC
rnacentral:rRNA from 1 species